rnacentral:lncRNA from 1 species
UUCUGAUGCAAAAUGAUGUAAAAUAAAAAGCUAUUCCUUAGUGAGCAGGGCUGCUAAUUCCUCCUAUCUUCUCUGUUUUACAGCCACAACUGGUCAGACAUGCUGACCAGGAAACUCAAAUUUGUCCUGAGGAACACAAAGAGGACACUGACAAAAGCAACCUUUAAAGAACUGGGGAGCCUGAAGGAGACUGAAAUGAGUCUUGAAGAGGAAGAAAUCUAAGAAGAACACAGCAAAGAACUAGUAAGACCAGGAUGAACAGUGUGAAGUCAACCCCAGUAGGGAAGUCCAAACCCUCCAUUUAAUUCCCUCCCAGCCAAAAGCAGUAUAAUUGCUGAAGCCUCUUAGCUCUUGCAGGGGAAGAGCCUGAGAAGGCAGAUGAACCCCAAUCACCAUUUCUCAUUGAAACUGGGCACUGGAUCAGAGCUUUAUUCACCAUUGUUCCAUAUGUGGAAUUUUUUGACUGAUGUCCAUUGGAAGGAAAGCAAUGGUGCUUUCCUUCAUCAGCACCUCAGUCACAACGAUGGGCCCGAGGCAUAUUUUAGAUGACUUUAUUAAAGAAGGCAAGCCAAACUCCACAAAUCUCAGAAGGAUACUAAGUGAACAGCUAAUUCACCAUAGCAAGUAUAAGACGUGCACUGUCAAAGUAAAAGCUGUUCAUGCUGUAUCUAUCUGAAGAGUGAAAAUGGGUCUAGUAUCUACAAUACCCAGACUGAGCUGAUAAGUAAGACACCGGAGCAGUUUUGCACUGGCAGCUGGAGGCCAGACACCAAACCUUAAGAUCUGAAAUAAUGCUAGGCAGAUAUGUUUAAUGAAAUACACCUUUAAAGUUAGGUGUCGUAACCCCAAAGUGAAACCCAUCCCAGAUAUCCUCAUUCAAAUGGAUGAAUCGUGCCCUAAAAGUGCUUGCCAUCGACUGUAACAGAAUCUGCACCAGUGGAGAAACCUGCAUCAUGGAUGACUAAAGUCAAGCUAGAUCAACCUCAUUCCCACAUAGUUCAUCACCAGUUUGGAGGAAGUGCUGGACUCCCUGACAUUUUCCCUGGAAAACUCCACCACUGUGCUUGUCUAGAUGGCAAGUAUGUGCUAAUCCUCUCUGAGACACUUCUUAUUCCCAGCACACAGGCAAAGCGGAUGUAAAGGAAAAAGCAUGUGAGCAGAAAACAUAAAAUCCUGAAAAACUUCUGAUUGAUCCCUUUAUCUGGUAAUGUGACAGCAAGCAGGAGAGAGAAAGACUUUCUACUUCUGAUAUAUGUCAAAUUACACAUUUGUAAAUGUAUGAGAAGGAAAAACACACAACAAACAACAGCAAAACCCAACACACUUCUUCAAACUACUGCUAUGUAUGUAUUCUCUCAAUAUCUACACAUAUGCACAGAUACAUAUGUAUUUGAAUUUUGGGGUACCCAGUGUUUUUGUUAGUCUGAGACAAUUUUAAGAAAAUGCUGGGUAGCUGCAAACUGAAUUCUUCAGACGAAGAACAUUUAAACAAGAAGAUUUCAAUCUGCCCUUCUGCACACAGUUUUUGAAUUCCUUCUUCAGCAUGCUGUCUUCAAAAAUAAACAGCAUUCUUUGAAUUUAUUAAAAAACACAUAAAAUAGUAGAUCUGUGGGAAAGGAGAGCAGAAAGGCAAAGUUCUGAUCACUGACGACUUCAGUAAUCCCAGGAUAAUUCUUAAUUCUCUUUGAAGCCAGUGUAGUUUUUUUCCCCCUCUUAAUUUCAACAGGAAGAAGCCAAGGACUCAUCCCCAAGUGUGAUAACCUCUGCUGUUAAAAAGCCAUAAAAUAUAUUUAUAUUUUCCUGGUAUUGUUCUGUUUAGACAGGUUUAGGUUUACUCGUGAGAUUUCUUCCCACACUAAACAUAAUUACUGUAUCACACUCCUCUCUUGUUAUUCUGCUCCUAAAAAUAGUGUUUGGAUGUUAUGAUGUUAAGAUGGGGCCUGGAAGCAGCAAAUGUAAAUCUCGUAGCUCUGCAGCCAACUUUUCAGGUGAUUGUGGGCCGGUUGCUUGGUUGAUUUCUUGGAUAGUGAAGCACCCACUCUAGAAAACACCAUUGCAGGAGGGUUUACUGCUAAUGUUAUAGGGUAAAAUUAAAUGUAAUCAUGCAAAUCUGCUGA